rnacentral:tRNA from 1 species
GACCUCGUAGCUCAGUUGGCAGAGCAUUGGACUAGAAUCCCAGAGGUCGCGGGUUCGAUUCCCUCCGUGGUCA